GAGGAAGAGGAGGAAAAGGAGAGAAGGAGGGGUCUCCGCGGCUUUAUCUCCCACUCGGAUCCGCCCGCUGCCGGCUGCCUCCCGCCGCCGCUCCCCUCCGCGCGGCUCCGCACCGCGGGGCGGCCCGGGCGGCGCCCAUGGGCUGCGGCAACUCCACUGCCGGCGGCACGGGAGGGCGAGGUGCCACGGGGACUACUAAAGAUGCAGCAGAAGAAUCUGUAUCAGAUGAUGACAAAAGGAGGAACUAUGGUGGUGUGUAUGUUGGUCUGCCAUCAGAUGCAGCUGCCGUGGUUUCCAGUCAGACAAAAGCUGCAUCAAAAGAUUAAUACAACAAAAUGCUGCUGUCACUUACGUACACCACAGAGCUAAGUCACUGACUGGAGCUUCCAAAAUGUGCUGCAAAACAAAAAGUGAAGAAAAAUAACACUGUCAUAAUAACAGCAGCUGUCUUUGGAAUAGUAGUACCUCUAUUGCAUGCUUUGUUUAACCAUGUUCUAAAUAGGUGAUAUGUUACAACAUUUUAACUCUUUACCUUUUGUUUUCUAAUUAAGAUUAGAAGGAAAUAAACACAUCAAGAUCCAAACAGCUGGAGCAGUUUUCUGCAAAGACCAGUUGCCAGUACUUUAGAGAGAGUUGUCUUUCUGCUGAAGAUCUUUACAUUUACAUAGCCUUCCAGAGAGCAAGACAGAUCAGAGCACCAAAAAACCUAAACUGUUGCAAGUUCCAACUACGGGUAAAUCUUAAAGUACAACGUUGAAUCUGUUUGCUAUGAUGAUUGUGUUAUGGAAACCUCCUGCUGUUCUCCAGAGGAAAGUGAAAUUAAUGAACUCACAGUGGAUGUUUCUGCACAAGAGCUAACUUUGAUGAUCUGCAAGUUAUUUCUCCAUGGCCAUAUUGCAGAUUUCAUCAGCUAUCAGCUACGCUUCGUAUAUUUUCUCCAAAAAUUUUUAAUAGAUUUUAUAUAGGAAAUCAUUAAUACUGUCCACUUAAAAGUUCCUAUGGUAGAUUCUUAUAAAUUAAUUGUUAAUUUACUUCAGAGUAAUAUAUUUGACAGAUUUGCAUCUUUUUGGUAAUAUUGCAAAUUUUACUAUUUUUGCUGUGAAAACUUACUAGGAUGAAAUAGGCAAAAGACCAUUGGCUGUUUAUAAUUACUAUCAUCACUUUUAUACAUUGAAAAAAAUAGUAGCUUUUACUUUUCACCUUUUAAAAAUACAUGGCUCAAGGAAAUUUGUUUAAAUAAGGACAGUGUAUCUCAUCAUAAUAUGUAUGUCUGUUUUCAUUUUCUUCAGCUUUAUCUCUUUUAUAAAGCAUUAUGUGAAAAAAAAAAAAAAAAAAAGAAUGAACCAAGCUAUUAUGUUAUGUCUUCCAUUCUAUGUGAAAUUACAGUGACAUUUCCUUGGGUAAGGGUGAAGUGAUGGUAUUGUCAGAGAUAGCUGGACUAAAAUCCAGCAUUGCGUCCUCUGGAAAUGUACUGAUUUUGAUCACUGUUUGAGUUUUGUGUCUUCAAGUUCUCUCUUACCAUCUCAAGUAUGGCAAAUAGUAACAGAGCUGGCGUUAUUACUACAGCGUAUUAAGACAUGAAGUCAUGGAUGGGGGGGGAGGGGUUAAAAUUAAUUACAUUUAUAAGACCUGGAGGUUUUUCACGCAACAUAAAUCAAAUGAGAUGGUGCAAUGGUGCAUUUCCGUGUGGCUGAACAAGUAUUAAAAUUAUUAAAACUUUUUGCGUAAUUUGUUAGUCACACUUUUUAAAAAAGACACUAACGUUACACUCUUUAAAAAUAAAAAUCCACACUGUAUUCGUGUAUUACAGUAUAUUAACAACCACGUUUAAAAUAAAAAGCAAAACAGAAACUUUGGACAUCAA